UACAGAGGGUGCGAGCGUUAAUCGGAAUUACUGGGCGUAAAGGGCGCGUAGGCGGGCUGUCGCGUCUGGGGUGAAAUCCUCCGGCUCAACCGGGGAAGGGCCUCGGGUACGGACGGCCUCGAGGGGGGUAGGGGCGUGCGGAACUGUGGGUGGAGCGGUGAAAUGCGUUGAUAUCCACAGGAACUCCGGUGGCGAAGGCGGCACGCUGGACCCUCACUGACGCUGAGGCGCGAAAGCCAGGGGAGCGAACGGG
rnacentral:rRNA from 1 species